UAAUUUAAAGUCUAGCCUGCCCAAUGAUAAUUUUAAUGGCCGCAGUAUUUUGACUGUGCAAAGGUAGCAUAAUCAUUAGUUUCUUAAUUAGAAACUAGAAUGAAAGGUUGAACGAAAAAGUAACUGUCUCUUUAUAAUUUUUUUAGAAUUUUAUUUUUAAGUUAAAAAGCUUAAAUAAGUUUGAAAGACGAGAAGACCCUAUAGAGUUUAAUAUUUUAUUAAUUAAAUUUUAAAAUAGAAUUAUUAUUAUUUGAUUAAAAAAAGUAUUUGAUUGGGGUGAUUGAAAAAUUUAGUUAACUUUUUUUUUAUUAAGACAUAUAUAAAUGAUUAAUUGAUCCAUUAUUAAUGAUUAUAAGAUUAAAUUACCUUAGGGAUAACAGCGUAAUUUUUUUUAAGAGUUCUUAUCGAUAAAAAAGUUUGCGACCUCGAUGUUGGAUUAAAAUAAAUUUUUGGUGUAGAAGCUAAAAAAUUAGGUCUGUUCGACCUUUAAAAUUUU
rnacentral:rRNA from 2 species